ACUACCCAUAACCCAUGAUAUGAAAAUCCAAAUUAAAAAUAAACUCAUUAUCGGAACUUCCUAUAAUUACUAAACCCAUAACUCCACAAACGAUAAAUACCCAGAUUUAAUUUUGAAUCAAUCAACAAUCAAAUCUCGUUUCCUUCUCCUCCGAUGAUUCACACAACAUUUCUAUGACCAACCUUUUUCGAUGAAUCCAAUGGAACUAAUUAAACAAGUUUUGUUGCAAGAAAACUAAACCCUAAGGGAUGAUGUUUAGGGAACCCAAAGGCUUUAAUUAUAGACACAGAUCGAUCCAUCUCAACUGUAAAACAAUCUGAUUGUGAAUCAUGAGCAACUAAGCCAUCUUCAUCAAACUCGCAUCUGAAUCAAGAGCUUGAAGAAGGAAGAAAGAAUGAAGAAACAAUAAAAGGAUAAAUUAGUCUUUUAGAGAAAAAGAAAAUACCCAUCCUUAUAAUCACUUGAGAAUAUGCC
rnacentral:sRNA from 1 species